rnacentral:pre_miRNA from 1 species
AGUGGAAUUGCUGGGUUACAUGUUAAUUUUUUAUUUGAUUUUUGAGGAACUGCCAAGUUGUUUUUCAGAGUAGCUGCACCAUUUUACAUUCCCAUCAGCAGU